CACGUAGGGGGCAAGCGUUUGUCCGGAUUUAUUGGGCGUAAAGAGCUCGUAGGUGGUUCGGUAAGUCAGGUGUGAAACCUCCAGGCUCAACCUGGAGACGCCACUUGAUACUGCUGUGACUGGAGUCCGGUAGGGGAGCGUGGAAUUCCUGGUGUAGCGGUGAAAUGCGCAGAUAUCAGGAGGAACACCAGCGGCGAAGGCGGCGCUCUGGGCCGGUACUGACGCUGAGGAGCGAAAGCGUGGGGAGCAAACAGG
rnacentral:rRNA from 1 species